GGCCUGGUAGCUCAGCUGGUUAGAGCGCCAGCCUGUCACGCUGGAGGUCGAGGGUUCGAGCCCCUUCCAGGUCGCCA
rnacentral:tRNA from 1 species